rnacentral:lncRNA from 1 species
AUGCCUUGGCUGCAUCUUACAGUAUCUUUCUUUCUUACCUUCUUUUUCUUCUCUCUCUCUCUUUCUCUCUAUUCUGCUCAAAUCUUGCAUGUGUUCACUUUGCCGGCCUUUCCACUCACUGCUAUUAGUUCUUUUAUAACUUUUUGUCUGUUGGGACCCCUGGCUGUUUCCAAUUAAAACUGAGGGAGAAAGUUGGAAAAGUUUAGACCCCUCUCAUAAAGGCUAUUUGAAUGAAUUGCUUUGUUUUAUGGAUAUUGAGAAAAUUACAAACCUGCCAGACCAAAAGAAUAAAAAUAGUAUUUUUCUCUUGUCAACGCAAGUGCCCUUUUGUAAUAUAAUUGGGCAAAAGUUAUUUAUAUAGAGUGCUGUAACAAUCAACCACAAAAUCUCUUUUGGUCAACAUUUUGAGUUUUCCAGCAACAUUGGGCUGUCUUUAACACUUUGGGUUUGGCAAACUUCCCCCACCCUCCAAGAUCUGCCAGGCAGGACUAAGGGUGCCUCAGCCGUCACAUUAGUUGGAACAGGCACAGCUGACACACACACAUUAUAUGCAUGGAGCUAUCAUUGUAUUGUUACCAAUAUACAGUAUAUGAUUAUAUUUAGCAUGAAAGUGUAACUUGUUCAGAUGUGUUGUUUUGGUGCCUAUAUAUUCUUUAAUUCACUAUCCACCCACCCACACCACCGUUAUCAUUUCAGGGGGAUCAAGGACAAGCGGGGCCCCCGGGCCCUCCAGGGCCUCCUGGGACUCCUGGGACUCCUGGCCCCAGGGGACCCCCGGGGAACACCGGCAGAGACGGACCGAGGGGCUUCCCCGGGGAGCCGGGACCCCCAGGACAUAAUGGCAUUGAGGUGACCUUUUACAUUUUCUUUACCUCCACUGCUCACAUGCAUUUUAUUUAAAUAGAGUUAGGACAAAUAGAAGUAGAACAGCAUGCCUUAGAGUAGAGAUAAGAGAUUUUAACAUUACAUUUUAACCUCUUAACAGGGACCGAGAGGGCCCCCAGGCAUUCAGGUCAGCAUAAAAACUCAGCCACAAUUAGCCACGUGUAAUAGCGCACACACGUAGACUCAAGUGUGCAUACUCGCACACUCCCUUAAAGUGACUUGACGUACGGGUGUUCUUUCAGGGCAUCGAUGGUGAAGAUGGGGAACCAGGGCCUCACGGACCCCCAGGAAUAAAGGUGCUGUGAUCUGGUCUACUAUGAUAAAU